CCUACCCCUAGAGGCCUUGCAGGUAUAACUGCUGUGUCACACGAUGUGUCACAUCAGACGGUAGCAGAGAGAAGAGAAGCUAUGACUAGGCUCAGUGUUCUGAUCUGAGAACAUCUGAAUGAUUAGUACUUUAACAUU